GAUGAACGCUGGCGGCGUGCCUAAUACAUGCAAGUCGAGCGAACAGACGAGGAGCUUGCUCCUUUGACGUUAGCGGCGGACGGGUGAGUAACACGUGGGUAACCUACCUAUAAGACUGGGAUAACUUCGGGAAACCGGAGCUAAUACCGGAUAAUAUUUCGAACCGCAUGGUUCGAUAGUGAAAGAUGGCCUUGCUAUCACUUAUAGAUGGACCUGCGCCGUAUUAGCUAGUUGGUAAGGUAACGGCUUACCAAGGCAACGAUACGUAGCCGACCUGAGAGGGUGAUCGGCCACACUGGAACUGAGACACGGUCCAGACUCCUACGGGAGGCAGCAGUAGGGAAUCUUACGCAAUGGGCGAAAGCCUGACGGAGCAACGCCGCGUGAGUGAUGAAGGUCUUCGGAUCGUAAAACUCUGUUAUUAGGGAAGAACAAACGUGUAAGUAACUGUGCACGUCUUGACGGUACCUAAUCAGAAAGCCACGGCUAACUACGUG
rnacentral:rRNA from 1 species